GACGAACGCUGGCGGCGUGCCUAAUACAUGCAAGUCGAGCGCAGGAAACUGACGGAACUCUUCGGAGGGAAGGCAGUGGAAUGAGCGGCGGACGGGUGAGUAACACGUAAGGAACCUGCCUUAAGGAUUGGGAUAACUCCGAGAAAUCGGAGCUAAUACCGGAUAGUUCAUCGGACCGCAUGGUCCGUUGAUGAAAGGCGCUUCGGCGUCACCUUGAGAUGGCCUUGCGGUGCAUUAGCUAGUUGGUGGGGUAACGGCCCACCAAGGCGACGAUGCAUAGCCGACCUGAGAGGGUGAUCGGCCACACUGGGACUGAGACACGGCCCAGACUCCUACGGGAGGCAGCAGUAGGGAAUCUUCCACAAUGGACGAAAGUCUGAUGGAGCAACGCCGCGUGAGUGAUGAAGGUUUUCGGAUCGUAAAACUCUGUUGUAAGGGAAGAACACGUACGAGAGGAAAUGCUCGUACCUUGACGGUACCUUACGAGAAAGCCACGGCUAACUACGUGCCAGCCGCCGCCGUAAAAC
rnacentral:rRNA from 1 species